CCCCUGCUUCCUCCAUCGCUCCGUAUCAACCACUCCUUCACCGAUCAGCCAUCGCGCAGGGCUUUCCUUUACCCUUGUGUUGAAAGGGAAGCGAGGCAAGUUCAGAGAGACAGGGAGAGAGUCAAACCAACAUUCGCCUGCCUUAUCGCGCCUUUACUGCUUACUUCGUUGCCGCUGCCGUUUUUGCUUGUUCUUGAUGUGUAGCGUUGCUCAUCUUCACAUACAUGAGCGGCUGUGUGUUUCCUGCACCCCUCCCCUCCGUCUUUCCACCCCUUGUACCGCUCUCCUCUUGUUGGAAUCAACUUCGUUGUGCCUCCAUCUCUAUCCACUUUGGCCCGCCUGGUGAGCUGCUCUCCUGGAGCCUGUUCUGCCACGCUUCUGGCGACGGAAUCGGUUUUUUUUAUGUUGUUUCUCGCUCUCUCGCUUCACCUUCACCCCUCAUCUUAAGUGCCAUGGGCUUGGCGCCUGUGAGCAGCGGGAGAGGUGUCUGCACGAUCUACGUUAUGGGUGUCUGCGGCAUCGCGCUAUUCGCCGCGGUCGCUUCCGGGCUCGUUGCAUCGGCAACGAUCACUUGCGUUCGUCCACGAACACUCCCCCACUCCACUGCUCUGCUCAGCCGAUGCCCUCUCCCCUCGUGCUGACCCGCGCCGCUCCGGCGCGCGGCCUCAACGUCAAAAUGUUUGACCGUAAGGUGAAGGGGCUGCAACGGAGCUUCGUCUCAUCUCCCGCCUGUGAUAUUCACAAGCUGUGCGCACAGCAGAUGCUGGAUCGGCGCGCCUUUGUGAAGCGCGACACGCCAGUGGUGCUAGAAGUGGGGGCGCACACGGGAUGGUAUCUGCGGCACAUGAUUGAGCGUAAGGAGCUUCACGGCCUCAAGCAGUACAUACAGACGGACAUCUCCGAGGAUAGGCUGAACCGCAACUACGAAGAAAUCAAGGACAUCAUCCCACCAGAAGUCGAGUUUGUUCAAAUCUGCUGCGACGAGGAGCAGCCCUCGCCGUUCGGUAUCCCGGACAAGUCGGUGGACAUGGUCGUGUCGUGUCUCUCCAUGCACUGGGUGAAUGAUCUGGAGACGUCAAUGGUCAACGUGCGCAAGGUGCUCAAGCGCGACGGCUUCUUCUUGAACGCCAUGUUCGGCGGCAACACCCUCUACGAGCUGCGAGGGUGCUUCUCCAUGGCGCAGACGGAGACCCUCGGUGGCGUUUCGCCGCACGUCUCUCCAAUGAUCGACGGCGCCGGUCUGUCGACGCUCGUGCUGCAGGCAGGCUUUAACAUCCCUACGAUCGACCUGGAUCGGCACCUGCUGUUGUACGAGACCCCGUUCCACUUGAUGGAGCACCUGGCGGUGAUGGGGGAGAGCGCGUGUCAUUACAUGCGUCAGCCCAUGAAGCGCGACGUCCUGCUCUGCGCCUGUGCCAUUUACGACACCAUGUACAAGCAGAACGGCCUCAUCCCCGCCACCUUCGAGGUGUUUCACACAAUUGCCUGGAGUCCCAGCCCGACACAAGCGAAGCCGCUAGCGCGCGGCAGUGGGCAAAUCCCGCUGUCCUCGUGGAACUCGAAGAGUCGGAAGCAGCUGCAGUCCGUGCUGGACGAGUACGCGCUGAACCCCAACGAUGAGGUGCUGCAGAACAAAGCCGAGGACAUCUUCAAGAAACUGCGCGAGGAGAGUGCCGAGCUCAUGGCGAAGAAAGGGCUCGACUCGCGCGGGUUCGAGCGCGACCGCGACGAGGAGGCGCGCCGGCUCGAUGAGAAGCCGGUGCCGCCCUUUCAAUAGUGGCGAUCGAGUGUAACGGCGAGCACUUCGUUACCCAAGCGCUCGAUGCUGUGGCAAGAAUGGGACGUGCUCGCCUCUUUCGCCUCCCUCCUCCCCGCACCCCUCUCGCUUGCUUUAGCCGGCUGGCGGGCUGUGGAGGAGCGCCAGCAAGAGAAACGACGCGAAGAGGAGAUGUAUGAAAGCAACGGUCGGCACGCAAGGAUGCAAAACACGUCCGCCACAGACGAAGAUGCAAGCGAAAUGGAGAUGAUCGAGCGCGAAAAGGAAGUGCGAUGAAGACGCAGAGGGGCAUCAUCGUCGGACAUCGGGCAAAGAGGUUUUUCAGGGGUGUAGCCGUUUCUUGUCGGCACCUCCUGGUGCGGGGACUCAGGUGGGCUCGGAUCGAUGGCGCGUGCUUGCCGUACCUCACCUUUCUACGCACCAGCCACGGCGACGUGAGAUGCGCCUCUCUGUCCGCGCUUUCCACCUCGAGUGCCGAGCUGCUUUGCCUCUUCUCUCCUGCCCCUCCCUCAUCUCUCAUCUCUUGUUGUGUUUGUGUGUGUGUGUGUGUGCCCUCGACCACUGCCCCAAAAUGGCCACAACUCGUUGGCCAGCGCGCUUUCUCGAGCGCUUUCACGUUUGAGUCCCCUCCUCUACAUCUCGGGCGUACAGGCACUGGCGCUCAGCAGCAGCAGGCCGCUGCCGCUGCCUCGUCUGGGGGGUUAGGAGGACAAAGCAGGGGUAGCGGCGUCUGCACACCACACGGAAGCACGAAAACGACGAGGACGUGCGAUUCCCCUGAAGCCCACAGCCGAGAGGCGUGUCAAACAGCCGAGCGUCAAGGUGUGCCCCCGCUUUCCUACGAGGGUGAUGAUGGCCUCAACGCUUCGACGGUGGUGUUUCCCCAGCGCGCAGGCGCGGCGGUUAGCAAAAAGAAUGCGACAGCAAAGCGGCCGCCAGCCCUGCAUGCGGUGUAUUGCAACGGCGGCGGACGACGGUAGCGAUGACGCGAAUGUUGACGCCUCGCCUGCAGCAGCUUCGGUGGCGGCGGCAGGUCUCAAGUGACGGGAGGGUGGAGGCGGGGGUACUAGUGAGGUGCCUCGCGUCCAGCAGGCCCGCAAGCCGCGCGCCGCUACUGCUGCGCAGCGCAAGCAUCGAAGCUCAGUGCGGAAUGCUAAGUGCCAGGGCAGCGGGGUCUCGACUCCCGUCGUGGUCGCAAGUGGGCGACUGUUCCUGUCGAUGCUUGUCUCUGCCUACAUGACGCUGGUGGGCAUGAUGGGCAACCCCAGCCACUAGGCCACACGUGCGUUGUGGCAAGUUUUUUUUCUGUCUUCUCUUCCUCUUCUCGAUGGUUGUACCUGUGGCGGGAAUGCUCGGCGCAGGUGUCUACGUGU
rnacentral:misc_RNA from 1 species